CCUACGGGCGGCAGCAGUGGGGAAUAUUGGACAAUGGGGGCAACCCUGAUCCAGCCAUGCCGCGUGUGUGAAGAAGGCCCUCGGGUUGUAAAGCUCUUUCAGUGAGGAAGAACGCCUGGUGGUUAAUACCCAUCAGGAAAGACAUCACUCACAGAAGAAGCACCGGCUAACUCCGUGCCAGCAGCCGCGGUAAUACGGAGGGUGCGAGCGUUAAUCGGAAUUACUGGGCGUAAAGCGCGCGUAGGUGGCUUGAUAAGCCGGUUGUGAAAGCCCCGGGCUCAACCUGGGAACGGCAUCCGGAACUGUCAAGCUAGAGUGCAGGAGAGGAAGGUAGAAUUCCCGGUGUAGCGGUGAAAUGCGUAGAGAUCGGGAGGAAUACCAGUGGCGAAGGCGGCCUUCUGGACUGACACUGACACUGAGGUGCGAAAGCGUGGGUAGCAAACAGGAUUAGAUACCCCAGUAGUC
rnacentral:rRNA from 1 species